AACGAACGCUGGCGGCAGGCUUAACACAUGCAAGUCGAACGCAUCGCAAGAUGAGUGGCAGACGGGUGAGUAACACGUGGGAACAUACCCUUUGGUGCGGAACAACAGCUGGAAACGGCUGCUAAUACCGCAUGCGCCCUACGGGGGAAAGAUUUAUCGCCGAAGGAUUGGCCCGCGUCUGAUUAGCUAGUUGGUGAGGUAAUGGCUCACCAAGGCGACGAUCAGUAGCUGGUCUGAGAGGAUGAUCAGCCACACUGGGACUGAGACACGGCCCAGACUCCUACGGGAGGCAGCAGUGGGGAAUAUUGGACAAUGGGCGCAAGCCUGAUCCAGCCAUGCCGCGUGAGUGAUGAAGGCCCUAGGGUUGUAAAGCUCUUUCAGCGAGGAGGAUAAUGACGUUACUCGCAGAAGAAGCCCCGGCUAACUUCGUG
rnacentral:rRNA from 1 species